rfam:Ophiophagus hannah scaffold4320.1, whole genome shotgun sequence.
UAAACGGUCCUUUUCAGGGCCACAAACAAAACACUAGCAUCGGCCU